rnacentral:tRNA from 1 species
GCCUGGGUGGCUCAGUCGGUUGAGCGUCCGACUUCGGCUCAGGUCAUGAUCUCGCGGUUCGUGGGUUCGAGCCCCGCGUCAGGCU